AGAGUUUGAUCAUGGCUCAAAACGAACGCUGGCGGCGUGGAUAAGACAUGCAAGUCGAACGCUGGAUUGUGUGUAGCAAUACUCGCAGUCCGGAGUGGCGUAAGGGUGCGUAACACGUGGGUAAUUUGCCUGGAAGCCCGGGAUAACUCCGAGAAAUCGGAGCUAAUACCGGAUGUGAUCAACGGCUGGCAUCAGUUGUUGCUCAAAGUCGGGGACCGCAAGGCCUGACACUUCCAGAUAAGCCCGCGGCCUAUCAGCUAGUUGGCGGGGUAACGGCCCACCAAGGCUAAGAGGGGUAGCUGGUCUGAGAGGACGACCAGCCACACUGGAACUGAGACACGGUCCAGACACCUACGGGUGGCAGCAGUCGAGAAUUUUUCACAAUGGGGGAAACCCUGAUGGAGCGACGCCGCGUGGAGGAUAAGGUCUUCGGAUUGUAAACUCCUGUCAUGCGUGAACAAGGUUGCCUGGUUAAUACCUGGGCAAAUUGAUGGUAACGCAAGAGGAAGAGACGGCUAACUCUGUGCCAGCAGCCGCGGUAAUACAGAGGUCUCAAGCGUUGUUCGGAAUCACUGGGCGUAAAGGGUGCGUAGGUGGCGUGAUAAGUCAGAUGUGAAAGCCCGGGGCUCAACCUCGGAACUGCAUCCGAUACUGCUGUGCUAGAGUACUGAGAGAGGUGACUAGAAUUCUCGGGUGUAGCAGUGAAAUGCGUAGAUAUCGAGAGGAAUACCAAAAGGCGUAGGCAGGUCACUGGACAGUUACUGACACUGACGCACGAAGGCCAGGAGCAGCAAACGGUAUUAGAUACCCCUUGCUAGCUCCACGCCAGUAGAGCGGGUGAGGUACCUGAGGGUGUGUGGGUUUUCCUUUUUCAGCGAGCAUUCCGUGACAGUAGCUAAACGUCAUUAGCUACCCCGCUGAGGAGGUACGGUCAGCAAGGACCUAAUACUCAAAAGGGAAAUUUUGGGACACG
rnacentral:rRNA from 1 species